GUAAGUUAUGCAAUAAAUUAAAGUUAGAUAAUUCUGACAGGUAACGUUACGUAUCGGCCCUGUAGUUGGCGUUAGCAUGGAUCGAUACAACGAGGUGAAACUGCAGCUGAAGAGCUGGGAGCAGGGGUUCGUCAAAGACCACCAGAGGAAACCAAACAAGGAGGACAUUGAUCAAGCUCCAGAGGAGACCAGGAAGCUGUAUAAAGAGUACCGCAGUUUGAAACAAGCCAAAGAAAACAGCAGCAGUGAUGCAGCCAGCGGACAUGCUGAACAGCCCAGAUCUACAGCUGAGGUCAUAACAGUCCAGAAGGACGGGGACUGUUGGGGGUGCCCAUCUAAACCGCAGUUCACAGCCGGCAUCUUCUCCCAGACUGACAUCAGAGGAAAAAGACAGUCUUAAGGCCUCUGCCCAAUACUAUGGACUAAAGCUUAAAAACAACCUGGUGACACUCAGUAAGGAAAGACCUGUCUCACUGAGGAAAUCAGUCCUUCCCGGUCGAUUGCCUCUAAACUCCUUGAAAGAUCGACAAACUGGACAGACAAACAGCCCUGUUGCUGCCACUGUCAAAACCACUUUCACUGACCCUGAAUCCAGCCCUUUUACACCAAGAAAAUUUAAGACUUGCCUGGGAUCCCUGGCUUCAAAGACACCUCAGAAAGUGGAGCCUGAAGAGCCGUUUGAACCAUUUGAACCUGUCAGAGAGUCUUGUGAAGAGCCUGCAAGUGCUGCCAGUAGUUGUAGUAGUACUAGUAAAGUUAUUAGUUCAGAAAAUCAAAAUGUCUCAAGUGUAGCUCCCUCUCCAGCCAGAUCUUCUGCAUCAUUAUCUUCUCCAUGUAGUGUAGUAGGAACUUCAAGAGGAGGUGUAGGAGCCACAGGAAAGUUAAAUGAAAGUAUAGGAGCUUCAGGAGACAGAAAACAACAUGUUGAAAUUUUAGUAACUCCACAUAAGGGUAUUAGUGAUGCAGAUGUUGGAACUUUGAUUAGCUUGAGAGGAAGCCCUCGGGUUC
rnacentral:lncRNA from 1 species